UUACAUUUUUUUUUUUUUUGUUUUUUAAAUUUGCCGCCUUCUGUGACUCGCCUCGUCGUUUUUGUCGAAACGCCGCGGCUCGGUUUGAGCCUCGGGUUCACGACGCCACGCUAACGGUGGUUCGAAUUAACCAGCGAUGGGCUUUACCCCGAGCUAAAGCCAUAUAGGGUUUGCGUCGAAACGGAUCUUCGGAUCGUCGUGACCGAAAUUAUGAGUUUUGAUCUAGUACUUCUGUUUUAAACGACCGGAGAAGUGCGUGCGCUACUGGUCGGAGUCUCGCGAUUUUCGUAUUUUUCAUAACGGUCGUUCGGAGGACGUGUGCUAUAUUACACUAUUACAGUAUUCAUCGCGGCGCGUGUCGUAAUAACAAUAAUAAUAAUUCUGCCGCCGCCGCCGGCACCCGUCGCCGCCUCCGUAACCGCCGCCGCCGUCUCGGGAACAGCCGCGCGGCAGUCUCCGUCCGUUCGCCGCCGUCUUAUCAUCAUCGCCGUGCCCGCCUUUUCCGUAGUCGCCGCCGCCGCCUCUUCCGUCUCGUCGACGACAAGUGUGUGUGUGUAAUACGCGUUUUUUUGCGUGUUUGUCGCGUGCGAUUUUUUUUUUGGCGGUCCCGACAAACAAUAUUUUUCGCUGUCCGUCGUGUGCGAUAAUCCGUCGCCGAACGUAUCCGACUGUCGCCGGCCCGUCGGAAGAACCGGUGGUCAAAGAAGAAAGAAUUCUAGUUUUCCCGCGGCGAAAACUCACUUAUACUCGCUAAGGACACGCAUUGCCGUCGUCCAGGUCUGAUAUUCAACUGUCGAAAUUGCUCCUUACCAUAUGAUGGGAGUAACUGAAGCCCGUUCGUAGCAUCCAGCUAAAUCGUCACGCGUUUGCCAACGGCGUAAUACAAGUACAAAAAGGGUUAUAUGUUCAUGAGCCAGCUUCUCAGAUGUACCCGUUGUCGGAGGAAGAUAGCAUGACGUCCCCAGGUAUGUUUUGUAACAGAAAACAAGAAUAUAGUCUUAGGAAAUACAAUAUUUAGGAACUUGGUUUACAUACGCGUUCUUAUAGAUGUAUAAUAAUAAUACAUAUUUGUAUAUAAUAUUAUGUGCAGACAGUACAUGAUUGGACACGAUGUAAGGUCAACACAUUCGACUUCUUACGUCCAAUGACCUUAUCCGCAUCAUCACCAUCAUUGUUACGAAUAUGACACAGGCUCGUUUUGCCGUGUAAAAUAUCGUAUACGCGUAUUAUACGUUAUGUAGUCAAAUAUUAUGUUGUGCGUGUGACAAUUUUCUUUAUUUUCCGUUCGACGACUCAACAAUAUAUAAAAUAUAUAUCUAAUCCAACAUAUUAUUAUUUAGGAGUUAUACAUUUUGUGAUUAGUUAUUACUUAUUACGCACGUAUCUACCCGAUGUUUUAUUGCAGUUUUUACACGUUACAAUAAUUAAUGCAUAUAAUAACAAAUGACAUAUUAUAAUAAGCGCCGCAGAAUAAUUGUGUUAGUGUUAAUAUUUUUAACGCUUUAUAAAUAAUUUAACAUUGAUUAUUAUACUAUGAGAGACCGACUAUCGAUGUUUAUGUAUAUUGAUAUUUGAUUGCAUGUAGGUUAGUUUAAAAUCUCGAAAUAGCCCUAUUUAAAAUACAUAAUGAUGUACAUAUUUUAGCACGCAAGCUAGACUGCAUUUUGUUACAAACAUAAAAACAAUAUGGAUAGGUAUGAUAUUAUAAUAUUGUGUAUUUUAAUGUUUACGCGAAACGCCGUAUGAAAGAGAUUAAACACGCUUUAAGAUUUAUCGAAUCCCGGGAUGAUUCAUUACCCAACCUCCGUGUGUGCUUAUUACACGUUUACAAUCGUGUAUACUACGAAAUAUAGUAAUAAUAAUAUAUUAUUAUAUUUUAUAAUAUAACUAGUUACAAACGUUGUGUGUAGAUACACGUCAUGCCGGCUCGAUGUUUGAAUUUUUGUUUGUUCUUCGAGUUAAAAGUUUAUUAUUUUUCAAAUUUCAAACAAUUUCGGAUACAUACGCAUAACACAACACUAACACAAAUUUGUUUUUACUUUUUUUUUUUUUUAGAAAAUAACGUUUAACGAAAAAAAACGACCGUUAUGUUAUAAAUAUUAUCGCGAUAUAAUAUUAUAUUCGUCGUAGGUAGGUACAACAAACGAAUUCAACUUUUGAAUAUAUUUUUAUUUUUUUCUGAGCGGAGCGAUGAAUGUAUUUUAUUUUGAAGUAUGUGUGCACAUGUAUAUAUCUACUAUUCUGUAAUAAACAUUUUCGUACAGUACGAGUACCUAUAUAGAAAUAAUAAUAUAAAUAAAAAAUUAUUAUUAUUAUAUCCAUCAUACGAGGUUCUUUCCACUUUUUGCAGGGAACGCGUUGUUUUCAUCAAGUCAUAAUUACUUCAUAGCGUUUACUGUAGUGUACACCGACAUCGUUGCCAUAUUAAAAUGUGUACUUAUAUUACUAAUAUAUAUUAUGCCUAUACUGAAUAUUUUUUCCGUCGGAAUGCGGUCGAAUACAAUUUUUAAAGACAUCGCAUUUAAUAUAAUAUACACCGACGGGGUGCAGGGUUUCAUGCGUGUGUCCGUGAUACUGUGCGGGGACUAAAACGUGUUAUUAAUUUUAAAUCGAAAAAAAAAACGAUUACCGCAUCACGGGCAGGAUAAAAUUUUGUGACCCCAAAUAAUUUUCUCUUUCCCGCUCACAAAAAUCGAACGUUCGCCACCGUAGCCGAUCUGUUGCGCCUUUUGGAUUGCAACUAUGAUAUCGUAACAUUGUACAUCAGUCAACAAUGAUCACCCAUGAUGUAUUUCUGAAAUACACGUACUUCUUAUAUAUAAUAUAAUGUUGUAUUAUUUUUCGCUCUUUUAACAAACGGCGGCCGUCUAUAACGUAGUAACGUACGUGCUCGGUUCGGAGGAGCCCCGUUGAACCCGUCAUCGUAAGGUUAUGAGUUUAUAAUAUAUUACACGUAUAUAAUAUGAUGACGACCGAACUCUGUGGCACGGUCGGCAGAGGUGCAGGUGCGCACGAUGAAUCACACCGUAUAGAGUCGCCCAGUAUUGUAUAUAGGUAUACGAUCGCGGCCUGCACGCACACUCAUUUAGGUAUACACAGAGAGACGUAUUUCUCGGAACGGGUCGGGCGUGUUCAAUGGGGGACCUUAUAUACUAUGACGAUACGAUAAAUGUAUAAUGCGUACACACACACAUCACGACGCGUUGUUGUCCAUUGAUAUCGGCUUAGCGCCGUCCCUAUUUUUAUAUUAAAAAGGUCUUCGGCGCACAAGGAGACGAAAAUCGUCCUGAAAUCCGAAUUCACGUUCUAUAUAUAAUAAAAUAAUUUCUUCAGUAAAGUCCGCCACUUGCAUUCUGCCGAUAAUCGUUUUCCAUCCGACAAUGCACCGCCACGGGCAACGUUGUUGCAGAUCACUAUGUUAUUAUUGAUGAUAGAUUAUUAUUCUAUAGUAAAUACUAUUUAAGAAACACCUUUAGAUACAGGUGAGUGGGUAGAUGGUGGAUGGCGCAUCUGGUAUAAAUUAGGUAGUAACUUAUAACGAAAAAAUGAGUUCAACGUGACCGAUCGUUGUCGUCGAGAGGACUUUGAAUGUGGUGAAAUGACGACUCAUUUUGAUCACGACAUAAUAGCGGUAUUCUCGGUCGGACGAAUAUAGAAACAUAAUAUUAUACGAGUACAUAAUAUACGUUUUUAUGCACUCGAUGAUAAAAUAUUAUUUCGAAAUCCGUGGAACGGUGGUAACCACUCUAAACUAUAUUGUUCGGUCAAUCAUCGUGUUUUUUAACUACGCGUAAUCGCUAUGAGACAUGAGUUCGUUUCUCGUUGGAAAUUUGUAGUAAUAUUCGCGGAUACCGAAUUGUGCAAACAUAGAAUGGAACAAGUAAUAUUUUUGUAUACAAUACGAACUGCAACGCUGCAAUUAUUGUGCAUGCCGUCGAAACGUUCAUAUUUUGCGAACAAAUAUAAUAUUAUAUGACGUGAAUAAAUGUAUUCAAAUCGUUCCGGAUUAAAUAAUAAUACAGUAUUACAGUCGCUGCAGCAUAGAGGUCUGAUUAUUGUUUCGUAGAACGCGUCGUUCCUCUAUGCCGUUGGAUUUGAAAGGUAACGUAACAUAAUACAACGUGAAACGCGAUCGAAUCUGGUAAACAUAUAAUAUGAUGAGAGGAGUGCGCCACACGCUUCAUUAUCCGUAUUCGUCGUUUCCUGGAAAACAGUAACACAUACAUCCACCCCCGCACCGGCAAGUCGAUUUCGGUCCAAUUUCAGGCAUUUCGAACAUUACACAUUAUUAUCGGGACGUGCUGUACUCGUACGGUGUAUAGCGACUUGAACGGAGUGAUGUACACAAUAUUACACAUAGUAAAACAUUGAUAGGCCGUUUGUGGUGUGGUUAACAUUUUCGGUGAUAGGCCACCACCUCGACGUCCGUCCGUCCGGAUGAAUGGACGGAGACGUUUUUACGACCGUGUAAACACGAGACCGUUUUUCAUCCCGUCCGUUUGUCGCGCAGCAUCUGCCUGAGAGUUGGUUUAUAAUAUGAAGCAAUGUGUCGAAACGGAUAUCGUAUGAUGAAGUGAACGCGACGUAUACUAUAGAGAAGAUGACGAUAAUAAUAAUAAUUGUCAUUUAAAUAAUAAUAAUAUUAUGGUUCAUCUGACCAAGGGACGCGACGUGGCGCGUUGGCAGCGACUGCGACCGGUACAUGUGGCAACGUCGCGAGUUACAAGUUACCUGAAAAAAAAAACACCGCCGAUCCAUUGUGGACGCCAAACCGGUUUUCGUUCCGGACGACACCUGUACACCGCCUACAUUUCGUAUUUUACACACACACAUACUCCGUACGCACACUCUUGUCUGUCGUAUGUACACGCUCACACGCGCGACAACAAAACGUAAAUUAAUAUAUACGUAUAGUAUCCUUUUGCUUUCUCACGAUCCCAGGACAACACACAUAUACACGCGCACGACGGUGAAGAGUUGACUACAGUCCGUACGAAUGCAGUCUCGAUGAGAGUUCGGUACUCGGGGUUGUUAGCACGAAGUACAGUAUCGAAUGUGAUUUUUAUUGCUCGUGUCUUGGAUGGACCAAAAAAAAAAAUCAUAAUUAAAAUAUGACGUGUGAUCGCGAACAGACGGACGCGAUUAGAUAAAUUAUAAUACAUCGAGUUCAGCCAAACCGAUGUCGUUAAAAUUUCCUAGAUUCGUUGAAAAUUAUUUCCCAAACGGUUUUCCGUACAUUCGUACGGUCUUCUAUUGUACGUGUAGGUAUAUCCUAGAUGUAUAGUCUCCAGGACUGUACAGGAAGGGAAUAUAUUAGUAUUGUUGUUGUUGUUAUUAUUAUUAUAAUCAUUACAGUCGGUCGUGUGCAAGCCCGUCUCAUCGUUGGCGGUUGUCUCUAGCUAGGGCACUACAGGGAAAGAAUAAUAAGUAUAUGAUAUUAUUAUCAUCAUCCCGAAAGAAUAGUGGAUAAACUGGUUUGACGAACACCAUCGUCAGCGGGACUGUAGCUUGUUUAUCAUUGUUGCCCGACGCAUAUAUCGCCGGGCUCGCGUAUACAUACAGAGGGAUGUUAUCGAGAGGAAACAAUAUUAUUAUUGUUAUCAUUUUGGUUUUUUUUUUUUAGCAUUUCUAGGAUUGUAUAUCUUGUUUAAACCUCGUUACAGCCGGUCGGCAGAGUACUGCAGGUUUCGUCGUUGUUCUGCAUACGGCCGUACUCAGAUCUACGACUACACCUCCCCAUCACCCCGCGCUUAGUAUGUAUAUACUGUAUAUACAAUAGUAAUAAUACGAACGAAAGAAUAGAUGUACCGCAUACAGAAUGAAUGGCUAUUGUGUGUGUGUGUGUACAAAUCAUGUAAAUGUGCUAUUGCCAGCGAAGUUAGGUUAAUGUAUGAGGCGUGGUUGUAUUUAAACGUUGUACAUACAGAGUGAUUCAUGACUGCUAUUACGUUUAAGAUAAUAUAUGUGUAGUAUACUGGUAAUAAAAAAAUCUUUGUAAGAUAAAUACAAAAAUAUUUUCGACAAAUAUAUAGAUCCGUAGUUAUUAUAUAUAAUAUUAUGAGUUAUACAUUUUCAAGUAUUAAAAAAUAAUAAUAUCCAUGGAGUUAAUAUUUAUUUAACAGGUCAAAAGUUAAUACCAAUCAAAUGUACAUAAAAAAAAAGGUAAAUUGUUGGAACUUACAAUCGCUCCGUACGUUAAUUAUAAGAUUUCAAUUAAAAUGUAAUAAAGUAAAAUAAAUAAUAUAAUAUGUGGGUCAAUAAGUAGCAAAUCACGUAUAGUUUAUUAAUAAACUACAUAGUAUCGUUAAGUUUUCCUUUCUAUUGCGCACGACGUGCUACUUGUAUGUAUUUCAGUAAAACCAUUUAAUUCUGAUAAAAUAGCAUAAAAUGUAUGUUAUAUAAUAACUAUUAGAAUAUUAAUUUCGAUUUUAUUGUAAUCUACAGGAACAAUUCUAGUCUAUAAAUUCGUCUCAAAACGCGUUCGCUCAUGAGUGUUUGUACUUUUAUUAAUUAUUAUAUAGGUAUAGUCGCACCUGGUUACCUGUUGAUACUGCGGUAUUCU